rnacentral:tRNA from 1 species
GGGGGGGUAGCUCAAUGGUUAGAGCACCGAGCUUAUAUCUCGGCGGUUCCUGGUUCGAGUCCAGGCCCCCCUACCA